AUUGAACGCUGGCGGCAUGCUUUACACAUGCAAGUCGAACGGUAACAGGCCGCAAGGUGCUGACGAGUGGCGAACGGGUGAGUAAUGCAUCGGAACGUGCCCAGUCGUGGGGGAUAACUACUCGAAAGAGUAGCUAAUACCGCAUACGAUGUAUGGAUGAAAGCGGGGGACCGUAAGGCCUCGCGCGAUUGGAGCGGCCGAUGUCAGAUUAGGUAGUUGGUGGGGUAAAGGCUCACCAAGCCAACGAUCUGUAGCUGGUCUGAGAGGACGACCAGCCACACUGGGACUGAGACACGGCCCAGACUCCUACGGGAGGCAGCAGUGGGGAAUUUUGGACAAUGGGCGCAAGCCUGAUCCAGCAAUGCCGCGUGCAGGAAGAAGGCCUUCGGGUUGUAAACUGCUUUUGUACGGAACGAAACGGCUCUGGUUAAUACCCGGGGCUAAUGACGGUACCGUAAGAAUAAGCACCGGCUAACUACGUG
rnacentral:rRNA from 1 species